GACGAACGCUGGCGGCGUGCCUAAUACAUGCAAGUAGAACGCUGAAGGAGGAGCUUGCUUCUCUGGAUGAGUUGCGAACGGGUGGGUAACGCGUAGGUAACCUGCCUGGUAGCGGGGGAUAACUAUUGGAAACGAUAGCUAAUACCGCAUAAGAGUAGAUGUUGCAUGACAUUUGCUUAAAAGGUGCAAUUGCAUCACUACCAGAUGGACCUGCGUUGUAUUAGCUAGUUGGUGGGGUAACGGCUCACCAAGGCGACGAUACAUAGCCGACCUGAGAGGGGGAUCGGCCACACUGGGACUGAGACACGGCCCAGACUCCUACGGGAGGCAGCAGUAGGGAAUCUUCGGCAAUGGACGGAAGUCUGACCGAGCAACGCCGCGUGAGUGAAGAAGGUUUUCGGAUCGUAAAGCUCUGUUGUAAGAGAAGAACGAGUGUGAGAGUGGAAAGUUCACACUGUGACGGUAUCUUACCAGAAAGGGACGGCUAACUACGUG
rnacentral:rRNA from 1 species